rnacentral:rRNA from 1 species
UACGAAGGGGGCUAGCGUUGCUCGGAAUCACUGGGCGUAAAGGGUGCGUAGGCGGGUCUUUAAGUCAGAGGUGAAAUCCUGGAGCUCAACUCCAGAACUGCCUUUGAUACUGAGGGUCUUGAGUAUGACAGAGGUGAGUGGAACUGCGAGUGUAGAGGUGAAAUUCGUAGAUAUUCGCAAGAACACCAGUGGCGAAGGCGGCUCACUGGGUCAUUACUGACGCUGAGGCACGAAAGCGUGGGGAGCGAACAGG